AUUGAACGCUGGCGGCAGGCCUAACACAUGCAAGUCGAGCGGAUGAAGGGAGCUUGCUCCUGGAUUCAGCGGCGGACGGGUGAGUAAUGCCUAGGAAUCUGCCUGGUAGUGGGGGAUAACGUCCGGAAACGGGCGCUAAUACCGCAUACGUCCUGAGGGAGAAAGUGGGGGAUCUUCGGACCUCACGCUAUCAGAUGAGCCUAGGUCGGAUUAGCUAGUUGGUGGGGUAAAGGCCUACCAAGGCGACGAUCCGUAACUGGUCUGAGAGGAUGAUCAGUCACACUGGAACUGAGACACGGUCCAGACCCCUACGGGAGGCAGCAGUGGGGAAUAUUGGACAAUGGGCGAAAGCCUGAUCCAGCCAUGCCGCGUGUGUGAAGAAGGUCUUCGGAUUGUAAAGCACUUUAAGUUGGGAGGAAGGGCAGUAAGUUAGUACCUUGCUGUUUUGACGUUACCAACAGAAUAAGCACCGGCUAACUUCGUG
rnacentral:rRNA from 1 species